GACGAACGCUGGCGGCGUGCUUAACACAUGCAAGUCGAACGGUAAGGCCCUUCGGGGUACACGAGUGGCGAACGGGUGAGUAACACGUGGUUGAUCUGCCCUGCACUUCGGGUUAAGCCUGGGAAACUGGGUCUAAUACCGGAUAGGACCACUGCCUGCAUGGGUGGUGGUGGAAAGCUUUUGCGGUGUGGGAUGGGCCCGCGGCCUAUCAGCUUGUUGGCGGGGUGAUGGCCUACCAAGGCGACGACGGGUAGCCGGCCUGAGAGGGUGACCGGCCACACUGGGACUGAGAUACGGCCCAGACUCCUACGGGAGGCAGCAGUGGGGAAUAUUGCACAAUGGGCGCAAGCCUGAUGCAGCGACGCCGCGUGAGGGAUGACGGCCUUCGGGUUGUAAACCUCUUUCAGCACCGACGAAGCGCAAGUGACGGUAGGUGCAGAAGAAGGACCGGCCAACUACGUGCCAGCCGCCGCGGUAA
rnacentral:rRNA from 1 species